rnacentral:tRNA from 1 species
UUAAAUGAAACCAAAAAGAGGUUUAUCACUGUUAAUGAUAUAAAUGAAUAAAAAUUCCAUUUAAA